GCUCCAAUAGCGUAUACUAAAGUUGUUGCAGUUAAAAAGCUCGUAGUCGAAUGUAGAUUGUACAGGUGCGCGGACGUUAGGUGUAUAACUUAUAUUGUCUGUACGCCACAAUCACCUUAUGUAGUACGGUUGUUUUGGUUUCCAGAACAAAUUUACCGACUACAUACAUUACUGUGAACAAAAUAGAGUGUUCAUGGCAG
rnacentral:rRNA from 1 species